rnacentral:rRNA from 1 species
CUACGGGAGGCAGCAGUCGAGAAUCUUCGGCAAUGGGCGCAAGCCUGACCGAGCGACGCCGCGUGCGGGAUGAAGGCCCUUGGGUUGUAAACCGCUGUCAGAGGGGAUGAAAUGCGGGUGGGUUCUCCCAUCCGUUUGACAUAGCCUCAGAGGAAGCACGGGCUAAGUUCGUGCCAGCAGCCGCGGUAAUACGAACUGUGCAAACGUUAUUCGGAAUCACUGGGCUUAAAGGGUGCGUAGGCGGCCAGAUAAGUAGGGUGUGAAAGCCUCCGGCUUAACCGGAGAAUGGCGCUCUAAACUGUCUGGCUGGAGUGAGAUAGGGGUGUGCGGAACUUCCGGUGGAGCGGUGAAAUGUGUUGAUAUCGGAAGGAACGCCGGUGGCGAAAGCGGCACACUGGAUCUCAACUGACGCUGAGGCACGAAAGCCAGGGGAGCAAACGGGAUUAGAAACCCGUGUAGUCC